CCGCAGCUAACGCAUUAAGUGCCCCGCCUGGGGAGUACGGCCGCAAGGCUAAAACUCAAAGAAAUUGACGGGGGCCCGCACAAGCGGCGGAGCAUGCGGAUUAAUUCGAUGCAACGCGAAGAACCUNACCAAGGCUUGACAUAUACCGGAAAAGUGCAGAGAUGUGCUCCCCGCAAGGUCGGUAUACAGGUGGUGCAUGGUUGUCGUCAGCUCGUGUCGUGAGAUGUUGGNUUANGUCCCGCAACGAGCGCAACCCUCGUCCUAUGUUGCCAGCACGUCAUGGUGGGGACUCAUAGGAGACUGCCGGAGUCAANUCGGA
rnacentral:rRNA from 1 species